UACGGGGGGGGCAAGCGUUGUUCGGAAUUACUGGGCGUAAAGGGCUCGUAGGCGGCCAACUAAGUCAGACGUGAAAUCCCUCGGCUUAACCGGGGAACUGCGUCUGAUACUGGUUGGCUUGAGUUUGGGAGAGGGAUGCGGAAUUCCAGGUGUAGCGGUGAAAUGCGUAGAUAUCUGGAGGAACACCGGUGGCGAAGGCGGCAUCCUGGACCAACACUGACGCUGAGGAGCGAAAGCCAGGGGAGCAAACGGG
rnacentral:rRNA from 1 species